UACGAAGGGGGCUAGCGUUGCUCGGAAUCACUGGGCGUAAAGCGCACGUAGGCGGCUUAUUAAGUCAGGGGUGAAAUCCUGGAGCUCAACUCCAGAACUGCCUUUGAUACUGAUGAGCUUGAGUUCGGGAGAGGUGAGUGGAACUGCGAGUGUAGAGGUGAAAUUCGUAGAUAUUCGCAAGAACACCAGUGGCGAAGGCGGCUCACUGGCCCGAUACUGACGCUGG
rnacentral:rRNA from 1 species